AUUGAACGCUGGCGGCAUGCUUUACACAUGCAAGUCGAACGGUAACAGGCCGCAAGGUGCUGACGAGUGGCGAACGGGUGAGUAAUGCAUCGGAACGUGCCCAGUCGUGGGGGAUAACGCAGCGAAAGCUGUGCUAAUACCGCAUACGAUCUAUGGAUGAAAGCGGGGGGCCGUAAGGCCUCGCGCGAUGGGAGCGGCCGAUGGCGGAUUAGGUAGUUGGUGGGGUAAAGGCCCACCAAGCCAACGAUCUGUAGCUGGUCUGAGAGGACGACCAGCCACACUGGGACUGAGACACGGCCCAGACUCCUACGGGAGGCAGCAGUGGGGAAUUUUGGACAAUGGGCGCAAGCCUGAUCCAGCAAUGCCGCGUGCAGGAAGAAGGCCUUCGGGUUGUAAACUGCUUUUGUACGGAACGAAACGGUCUGGGUUAAUACCCUGGGCUAAUGACGGUACCGUAAGAAUAAGCACCGGCUAACUACGUGCCAGCAGCCGCGGUAACAC
rnacentral:rRNA from 1 species